AGAGUUUGAUCCUGGCUCAGAACGAACGCUGGCGGCAGGCCUAACACAUGCAAGUCGAACGCGGUCCUUCGGGGCCGAGUGGCGCACGGGUGAGUAACGCGUGGGAACCUACCUUUCGGUACGGAACAACCAAUGGAAACGUUGGCUAAUACCGUAUACGCCCUGAUUUGGGAGACCUUAUUGGGGGAAAGAUUUAUCGCCGAGGGAUGGGCCCGCGUCCGAUUAGCUAGUUGGUGGGGUAACGGCCUACCAAGGCUGCGAUCGGUAGCUGGUCUGAGAGGAUGAUCAGCCACACUGGGACUGAGACACGGCCCAGACUCCUACGGGAGGCAGCAGUGGGGAAUAUUGGACAAUGGGCGCAAGCCUGAUCCAGCCAUGCCGCGUGAGUGAAGAAGGCCCUAGGGUUGUAAAGCUCUUUCACCCGCGAAGAUAAUGACGGUAGCGGGAGAAGAAGCCCCGGCUAACUCCGUGCCAGCAGCCGCGGUAAUACGGAGGGGGCAAGCGUUGUUCGGAAUUACUGGGCGUAAAGGGCGCGUAGGCGGUCCGUUGCGUCAGGUGUGAAAGCCCCGGGCUCAACCUGGGAGGUGCACUUGAUACGGGCGGACUUGAAUCCGGGAGA
rnacentral:rRNA from 1 species